rnacentral:lncRNA from 1 species
AAUACCUCACUUUCACCCAUCGUUUUCACUUUCUCUUGCCCCCACACCGGUCCCUCAUCCCACUAUUCCCAUAUUCCCAUCCCACCUUCUUUUGUCCCCCACUUUUCCUUGUCCCCUCUCACUUUAUCCCUUUCCAACUCACCCACGUCACACUCCAACAACAGCACAACUUUUACCUUACCACUUCCCUCUCGUUCUUCAACUUCUUAAAUACACACACUUCUUGGUCAGAUUUUUUAGAAAACAUACACACAGACCUAAUGAGAAAUCGGUCACACACACACAAUUAAAAUAAGACAAAAAACAAAAAACAAAAAACAAGAAGAGAAAGAAGAACGGAAUACAGGGGAAUGGAAACGACAAUGAACAAUGAAACAUGAAAAAUGGAGAUUUAGUAAAUAUUUAAGGGAUUGCUAGAAGCUUUAAAGCUUAAAUACUUUCCCUCGGUGUCUAUUGAGUUUUGUUCAAGCCUAAAGCACUGCUUUCUGUUGCUGAAGUUUAGCUUCAUACCGCCUGCUACUGUUUCCUUCUGCCUUUUCUCUAUUUCAAGGUAUUACUCACCCACUCAACUAUGUAAUUUUCACUUUCUAUCAAUGGAAUUUGUAUGAUAUAGUGUUGAGCAUAUGAAACUCUGUGCUAUUUUCGUUGUUUAAUUUAUAUUAUCAAUGAUUCUGCCAUGUUGUGAAGUAAUUAGAGUGUGAAAUUCUUAUGAUAUAGUUGUGUUGAUGUUGGUAUUUAUGGUUGAAAUGUGUUCGGCAUUUUUCUUCCUAAUUUCACUGACCGAGUAAAGUAGUGAAUGAGUUAAAUUUGGGCUUCAGGUUUGUGAAUCAUUGAACGAUUAGGUGAAUGACUUUGGAAAGGGUAACUUUAGAUUUUAAUUCCUUUUUUUUAUAUAUGAGAAAACUUACUUUGGGAAGGAUUUGGAUAUGUUCAGUGAUUUCUUGAAAGGUUUUAAAAUAACACCUAAUUAUAGGAUGUAAGACUACAGCUCUUUGUUGUCAUACAUCAAUAAUUAUUCAUCAUUACUUGUCAAAAAAAAAAAGAACGUGUUUGGAAAGCAUGAAAUAUUAACCAAAAAGAGCUCCAAGAGCUAAUGAGCAUCAUGGUUGGUAUUAGUUCAAGUUAUACACAAGACACCUUUGACUCUAUUUAGUGCAAGAUCCCACAACGAUCCCAAAUAUAAGUUAUUAACGUUUGAAAAUCAUUAUAAUUACGGGUAUGGUUCCCGUGGCGUAGUUGUGAUACCUAAUUUCAAAUUAGAUUAAAGUAGGAACAUCUUUACUUGCCUUAGAAGAAAAAAUACAAAUCUUUUCCUUUUAAAAAUAAUUUGAGGUGUGCCAUGCCAAACAAAAUCCCAAAACCUGUGGCCCUCACUUAAUUAAUUUUAACUCCUUAGAAAUCGAGGUGUACCAUUAGUUGAAUUUUCCAUGGCCCUCGCAAACUUGAAAGUGCGUAGUUGCUUUAGGCGCGCUAUUUAAAUUAAUUUCCUUAAACUCGGGUAUGCAUUUCAUGUGACCCAAAUCCAAAUCUCAACGGAGUCAGAACGUAUUAACAACCACGGGUGCAUUGAUUGUGACGUGGUUUGAGAUGCAUUUUCACGACGUUGCAAUUCUAUAAAAAAAAUACUAAUAAAAACGGUUUAAACUUAAUAAAAGCACACAAGUCAUAACAUGUAUAAAAAUAAGAUAUUUAGCCAUUACAACAAUUUAAGCGACCGUGCUAGAACCACGGGAUUCGGGGGUGCCUAAUACCUUCCCUCGGGUCAACAGAAUUCCUUACUUAGAAUUUCUGGUUCGCAGAUUUCAUUUGAAAAGUCGAAUAUUUUCCUCGAAUUGGGAUUCAAGAUAAACCGGUGACUUGGGACACCAAAAGCCAAACCUUUCCCAAGUGCAGACUCUACAACAACAACAACAACCCAGUGUAAUCCCAAGUGCAGACUCUGAAUUAAAUAAAUAAUCCCAUUUCGAAUAUUGUCACUUAAAUUGGAAAAACUCCCUCACACAUUUACCCUUUGGGGUAGGCGCGCAAAAAGGAGGUGUGACAAUUGAGUAAUAGGAUAUUACCCGAUUAAUUAAAGAAUUAUUGGAUAAGGGUUGAAAUAACCCAACGUGGCAGCACCCUUAUCCCAUUUGAGUGAGUCAUUAGCUAUGGCUCAAUUUUCACAUUUUGAGCAUUUAGGAGGCUUAGUCAUCACCUUAGUAGGGCCCAUACUCACUAAGGUAUAAGACUUUAGUUCCUUAAGAGAUAGAUUCAAAAAUUCAUUAAGGUAAUAUCAUACUGUUGCUAAAAGCAUACUACUCCAUAUAAUUUAUACGGAUGUAACCUUCAUAUGAUAUCUAUUUCUAUGAUCCCAUGAAAAAAACAUUUUUCAUACGAAAUUAUAAUGUGUAAUAGCACCGAGAUUUUGCGAUUCUAAGGGAGUAUGGUACAAUCUAUCCCAAGAAUAUCAUACGGAUUUUCUCCUACUCCGAUUCGUCGUAACGUGUUGUCGCGAUUGACGUGUGUUAGAGGGAUUGUCAAGAGAAUCGGCUCAGGUAUGUUAAGGCUAUCCCUUAUUUUCUUUUGGCAUGAUCUAUACGACACAAACAAAACGAGAAAAUGCACAACUUCCAUAAAUGACUCUAUUCAUAAUAGUAUUAGAUGUGCCUAUGUUCUUGAAUUCCCAUGUGUCCUAUUAAUUUAUCAUCUGUUCAUGGGUCUCAGAAAAAUAUGUCAGUUGAAAAAGUUUACUUCUUGAUAUUAAUCAGAGGCAUAAUGGGCUUAUGACACUCCUAAAGCUUUUAUUGACGUACUUCUCAUGUUGCAUUCAUGUACAUUGAUCCAUGAACAGAUGACAUUAUAUACGAGUAUAUAUGUAUAUCAUAUAUAUAUAUAUGGGAUAUGGGAAAACGUUAUGGUGUUAUAUACGCACCACCACCUGAUCAGCUAGUCUACAUUGAUGAUUUUGCCUACAGUGGCCGAGAUGAUAUGAUGGGAUACCCUUAGAGGCUUGAUGAUGUUAUGAACACAUGUACCUAUGCACAACAUGACAUUCAUAUGCAUAUGCAUGUCACUAUAAGUAUUUCAUGAUUAGUAGAGUUAUCCUGACUGACAGGUUGAGUCAUUUACUCUAUAUUUCUUCCAUGUCUUUUAUAUACUUAUUUAUAUGCCUUGCAUACUCGGUACAAUAUUCGUACUGACAUCCCUUUUGCCUGGGGACUCUGUGUUUCAUGCCCGUAGGUCCCGAUAGACAGAUCGAGAUUCCUCCAAGUAGGCUAUUAGCCAGCAGAAGAUGUUGGUAUUCUCCAUUUGCUCCGGAGUUGCUUAUUUGGUUAGUAUGAUUUAGACACGUAUUGUUUGGUAUGGCGGGGCCCUGUUCCAGCCUUCAAGAUAAGUAUGUACUCUAAGAGGCUUGUAGAAUGAUGCCAUGUAUUCGUAUGCUUGUAUGGCCUUGCCGGCCUAUAUUUUGAGUUUACAAAUGAUCAUGUUGGCCUUAUAGGACCGUAUGUCACAUGUAUAAGUUUUUAUAGCAGGUUGGGUCGUCCUAUAUUGAGAUCCCCUAUGUUUAUUCCGUUUUGCUCAUGACAUCCUGUUUGGCCCAUCUGCCAUUAAAAGCAAAAAAAUAUAUGUUAUGUUGGUACUCGGUUAAGUAAGGUACAGGGUGCCCGUUGCGAUCCAUAGGUUUGGGUUGUGACAAAAGUGGUAUCAUAGCAGUUUUUUCAUAGGGAGUCUACUAGCCGUGUCUAGUAGAGUCUUGUUUAUGGGUGUGUCCUAUACCACACUUAUAAGCAGGAGGCUACAGAGCAUGCAGGACUGUCACUCUUUAUUCUGACUCUAGAUUGUGCGGUAGAGUUCAGUUGUAAGAACUCAAUUUCUUAAACUCUAACUUAUUCAUAAUACGAUGAUGCCUACAUCAAGAAAGAUGGUUGGUAAGGAGUUGAAUGUGGCCGUGGAAGAACUGAGUCAGAGGAACUCGAUUUUGCAUCAUGCUUAUGAUCAGUAAAUGUAAGGUCUCUAGCAGAUCAUGUGUGUACUAAGACAUAUAAGCUUCUUGUUAAGGAGCCCUAUUUAAUGUAUAUCUGUCCACCCAUAUGGUAAAAAGCAACGAAAGAAUCAGAAUGUACAAAUUUCAACAAGUAAAAGAAGCAAGGUAAAGAAGGAAACGUGGUACCCAAUUAGUGAAGAUGAUCAUUAUCUACAAUUCAUGAAGAAGCAUUUUGAGUUACCUUCAACAGUAAUAGAUGUAUGUACAAUUGGCCACAUUGAUCUCAGUUAUGCCCUAUGAGAGCUAACAUGUAUAGUCUAAGUGAAUGAUGGGAUCUCAGGAACCGGCUGGGUUUAGAGUAACCCAAAAUGAUGGUUGGAUUGCUUGCGUUAGUUGAAACUUCCAAAGGAUAUUGUAAAUAUGCUAAUAGAUAUCCUGAGACACCUAGAUGGUUCACUCUAAAAUAAGUAAAGCUAGAUAUGAGUACUACAAAGAUAGGCACUGGAAGUAUUGAAAAGAUAAAUAUUACCUUAGUGUGACUCCCGUCCCUAGUAGAGAAAGAAUGUUGGUCAAUUCGAAGAGCCAAUGGAUGGAGCAAGGCGAGCUAAAAGCAAAAGAAUGUCUUGUUCGAGUUUUCAGAAUAAAGUGAUAGACAUGAAUGGUAGCGAGAAAUAAGAAGAGAGUUAAUGAAGCAUUAUGAGUAAGAUGUGAUACAUGAAUGAUAACGGUAGAUCAAAAAGAUGACAGUAUUACAGAGUCUAUAGUCAAGUGAAGGAAAACACAAGAGGUGACAUGCCUUAAGACAACAAAAGAGUAUAGGUCAUAAAGUCAUAUCCUCAUUUGUAGAAAUAUGUUCGUGACUCUAACUUGAUUACCAGAAGGAGAAGUUACAAAGGUAAUAGAAAUUAGUAUGGAUCGGUGAACAAGAACUAAACAUGAAUUAGGGACUAAGUGAUUUGAUAAUAGUCGGCAUCGUGAGAAAUUCAGAAAUUGCAUUCCAACGAUAAUAGAAUGGGCAACAAAAGAACAUUCAUGAGCAAUUCAGAGAAAGGACAUUCAGGAAGAUGCUUCCAUAAAGCAAGAAAUGUGAGCAAAGUUAAUCUUAAGGGAUUGUAUGUGCCAGUUAUACUAAGUGUCACCCUCACGAGUAAGGAAAAGUUGUUAUCCUUGGUAUAGAAGGAUUACUGUAAGCUGAGUAAGAGUCAUCAAUGAUGUCCGAAGAUGCCAAAGAUGAAGAGGUAAAACAUCUAUAGGUAAAUCGUAGCGCCAAAUCUUAGUACUCCCCUAAAGGGAGAAUAUGAAGUGAUAUGGCAGUAAGUCAGAAUUUAGUGGUUCUAGUAAUUAUGGAAUGAUAAAGGAAGAAUGCAAUAAAUAAAAGAAAAAGGGAUGAUAUUGCACUUAUUCAAAGCCUACAAAUAUGCUAUGAUACCAGAACACUAUGAAAAUAUGACGUCAUUGAGAGGAAGUAAGGGUUCCUGCCUGAGAUGUUAUUGAUAAAUAAGGAGCCAGUGCGAGAUGUAAGUUAAGACAAAAGAAAUAACCCUAGAAAGAUAACGUGGAAUAUUGAUAUAAGAAUGGGUCAGCGAGUAGUUUGUAGUUGAGACAAGAGGAUACACACAAAUCAACAGAUCGUGCAAGAUAAACCUAGUAAACCCCAACAUAGUGAAUCCAUUCUUGCAAAUAAUGAUAUCGUGAUCCUUGAAAAGUAUUCAUAUAGGAGUUGGGGUAGUAAAAGGUAUCAUAUAAGUGUUGUGAAAAUAAAAGGGAGUGGCACUGGAAAACUGUCAAAAUUUAAGUUCAGAAGCAACCCUAUAAGCACAAGGUCAUGGAGGUAAGUAAGCAAGGAUAAUUACAAGUGAGAACAAACAUCAAAAAUUUUAUCGGAUAAACGAUGUAAUAAGCUCGCAGCCUUGCAACAAUCAGAGGGUCCUCCCUAAGUACUACAAUGAAAGACUAGAUGAGGAAAUAAGAAAGAAGGGUUCAACCUAAGCACAUUGACCUAAAGAGGAAAUGGUCAUGUAACAACAGUCUCACAACAAAAUUGUAUGCACUGCAUAAGAAGGUGGCACCCACUGUGGUUAAUGAAGGGGGAGUGAAGUCAGAAGUGAUAUUCAAGAUCAUAUGAGCUAUAUGGAAUUCCAAUAUAUAUGGGCACUAAGAUAAGCCAAUUAUGCAUGCAACAAGGGGACAGAAAGAUCAGGAAGAGUAAUAGCUUGUGUUUAAAGAAAGCUGAGAAGGAAUGAAAGGAAUUAUUCGAUCAGUGAUCCAGAGUUGGUUACGUUAUGAAUGCACUUAAGAUUUGAGAGUAUUAUCUAUGCACCAUAUAUGUUGACAAUCAUACCAUCGUAGGAGACUUCGGUAUAAGUUAAAAGAAAGAAUUGAGUCCAGGUCUUAGAUAAGAGAUUGAAUUGUUAGAAGAUUGUAUCCUGGAUAUUUCAUAGCAUCCUUGAGAGGCUAAAGUAAUACCAUGAGCCGAAAAUCAAAAUAUAGCUUAAGCCUACAUAAAGGUUGAUUAGAAGGAAGAGGAAACUAAAGAGUUACAUCAACAAAGUAAAUCAGGAGUCUAAUUAUUGGACCUAGAAAAUUAUAGAAAUUGUGGCUAAGAACAUUGCAGAAUUACUCUUAAUAUCAGAGGUGCAAUAGAGAUAGUACAGUAGCCAUAUUUUAUAAUAGCUAUAUGAUAAAGCUAGUUAGAAGUGUACCAGCCUCAUAAGAAGUAAGUAUGAAGCUCUCACCGAAUCAUAUAAAAAAGUGCAAGUAUUAUAAUACAACUUCAAGUCACGAAUAUGAAUUAUACCUAUGUGGAAAGGAGGUCAUAAAAGAGAUAAAAGAGGUGAUGCAAAAUUUUAAGGUAAGUAAGGUAAAAGUGAACAAUGUAUGAGAUAUUAAAAUGCAGAAUAAUAGGAAUAGUCCAUACUUUGGAUAGAAGGCUAGAAGCGCUAUGAUUCCGUAUCGAUAGCGGCAUCGACAGUGGCAUAUCUUCCAUCCUAUGGUUUCUAGUUACCGAGAGAUCUAGUUAAGAGAGUAAAGAAGAUUUAGAGACGAUGUGAUGUCUCGCUUGAUGUUCUAAAAUAACACAACGAAAUCUAUGUUGCAAUAAAUUGAAGGAAGAUUGCGAGUAGUAUAAAUAGAUAUGUAUAGGUCGCAAGCUAAAGUAUGGUAAAGCGACAAGGUUUUAGGAAGACAUGAGUAAGGAUAAGAAAGGGCUAGUGAGGAGGUGAUGAGAAUGGAUAAGUCCUCGGGAUUAAGCCCAUGAAAAUAAGAGAGAUGAUGUUUUCUCUAUGUUAUAGAAAGCUCAGUAUAGCCUGAAUGAACUCAAAAGAGUCUAAGACUAGUAGAAUUUAGAAGAGAUGGAAUACUGCCCUGAUAGUAGAAUGAGGAUGUAAUUGUCACAAAUAAAGAAUGACGUUUGGGCCUUCGAUUGUGUAAUGAUUUAAAGAAAGAAAGAGGGGAUUUCAUGAAUUGUACAGGAUUAAAAGACCCAUGUGAAGAAAAUCACAUUGGAAUGCUAUGAAAUACGGUUAUAGAAGUAUAGUAUCGCCCCUAGAUUUAGUCCAGAUGUGCCUAAUGAGAUGUGAGCCCUAGCGGCAGUGUUACAUAAGAGGUCAAGAGACCAGUGGUAGAUUAUGGAUCAACGUUAAGGUGAGUCGACAUUAGAUGGAUAAAUUUCCAAUAUAUGAGAGGAGAUAAGGAUUUCAUCCUUUAGAUGAACAAUAUUAAGGAAGCAUUGAAGGACACGAAUUUAUACAUCUAUGAUAAGAAGUGAGAGAGUAACCUAGAAUUGGGUAACAAACAUCGAUAAUAAUAAAACUAGGGUAAAGUUACGGUAUAGUAUGACCUACCUAGAUGCAGUAAAGUCAUAUAGAAGAAUAAUCGGGUCUAUGAAAUAAGAUAGACAGUUCGACAAAGUACCGAGCGAAGAACUUCAAUAUACCUAUAGAUGCCUAGAGAAACAUUUUAUCAAGCUCUGUUUAUGUUCCUAAAGUGAGGCCUAGAGAUCGGCUAAAAGCGGGAGGAAAAAGGAGAUAAGAGACGCAUAGGCACACCUACAAGGACAAAGGCAUAUAUACCUAUCACGACCCAAUUCCCGAACCCAGUCGUGAUGACGCCUCUUGUGAAGACAAGGCCAGCCAGACCAAAUAGAACACCUCUUUUAAACAGUUAAAUAUCAUAAAUAGUUCUAAAGCAUGAUAUAAUAUCCGUAAUUUGCGGAANNNNNNNNNNNNNNNNNNNNNNNNNNNNNNNNNNNNNNNNNNNNNNNNNNNCUACUGAACACUAGAUCUGAUACAAUAGUUCUAAGAACAUGAAAAUGAUAAGAUAAGGGAGGCACGGGGCUACGGACGCCAACAACUACCUCGUAGUCUCUGAAUCACUGCCUGGACUGGGAGGAUCAGCACUCAGGAGCAGACUCUGUGAUGCCUGAAUCUGCACACAGAGUGCAGGGAGUAAUGUGAGUACCCCGACUCAGUGAGUAAUAAUUAUAAAUAAUGGCUGAAAGCAUGAAAACACGUAAGGCACAAAGCAAUUCUAUAUCAACGUAGUAAAAAUCACGUAAAGCAGUAAAUUAGUGAGGAAGUCAAGUGAAAUCUCUUUAAAUCAGGUAAAAUAAGUAAUUUGGCAGGUAAAUAACGAGUAGAAAUCUGCCCCUCGGGCACAGUAUCAAACACUUAGAACAAUAUCAGCUCCUCGGGCUCACUCUCAUCACUAGUACUCAUUCUCAGCUCUCGGCCCAUGUAUCUCUCAUAAUAACAGCAAUCAGAAUAACCGCUGUGGCGUGCAGCCCGAUCCGUACAUCGCUGCGGCGUGCAGCCCGAUCCAUAUAUAUAGUCGACUGUGCUCACUGGGGGUGUGCAGACUCUAGAGGGGCUCCUACAACCCCAAGCGCUAUAUUGCUGCGGCGUGUAGCCCGAUCCAUAUAAGUAUUGUUGCGGCGUGCAGCCCGAUCCAUAACAUAUAUAAUAUCCUCACCAUUGGGUUGUCAACCCCUCUUAGUCAUUAACCUUACAGCCUCUCCGACACAAUAACAGGAGAUAGGGAUCUCAGCCAACAAAUUCCUCUCAUUUAGGAAUAGUAUUAUAAAAUCAGCUCGAAUCGUUUAAAACAGAUAGAAACAUGACUGAGGAUAUGAUUUUUAACAAGUAUAGUGAGGAAAAUCAGUCAAAAUCCCCGAAGGGUUCAGAUAGUUGGCAGAAGCCCAAAUAUGGCAAUCAGCCCAAAUCAUGAUGAUAACAAAUAAAAUUUCAGUCCAAUACACAGCAAAAAUCAUCAAUCGGGAUGGACCAAGUCACAAUCCUCAGUAGUAAAAGACCCCAUGCUCAUCAUCCAGCGCGUGUCUCACCUUAAUAUAGCACUACGAUGUGCAAUCCGGGGUCUCAAACCCUCAAGACAUCAUUUACAAUCAUUACUCACCUCGAACCGGCUAAUUCUCCGGCUCACGAUGCCUUUGCCCCUCGAAUUAGCCUCCACGCACAUCGAGUCUAUCCAAAAUUAGAACGAAUACAUCACAAUAUGCUAUGGGAACAAAGCCCAAGCGAAAAUAUUCGAAAAAUAUCAAAAACCCCGAAAUUAGCAUAACCCGAGCCCCGAGCCCACAUCUCAGAAUCGGGUAAAAUUUACAUUUUCAGAAUUCUCAUACCAUCACGAGUCUAACCAUACCAAAAUUAUCCAAUUCUGAUACUAUUUGGUCCCUCAAAUAUCAUUUUAUAUUUUUGAAAUGUUUUACAAUUUUCUUCCCAAAUUCCAUCCCAAUUCAUGAAUUAAAUGAUGAAUUUCAAUGAUAGAUUCAUGUACUCUAGCCAAAUCUGAGUUAGAAUCACUUAACCCGAUGAAUUUCUUGAAAAACCUUCGAAAAAUCGCCAAAAUCCGAGCUCUCUAGGUCAAAAUAUUAAAUAAAACCCAAACCCUCGUAUUUAUAGAGUACCCCUUAGAUUUCAGCCUCCGCGGUCCGCACAGAACCACCGCGGUCUGCGCAAAAGCACCGCGGUCCGCACAAAACCACCGCGACCCGCACAAAACUACUACGGCCGCACUUCAUUUUGUGCGGUCCGCACAGCACAUACCGCGGCCGCACUUCCUUUCGUGCGGUCUGCGCGGGUGGGUUCCGAGGCCUGUGACCCUUCUCGACCUGCUACAAAUAUGAUUUUGGCCUAAAACAUCCCGGAACCUACCCGUAACUCCUGGAAUUCCAAACCAAUUGCACCAACACAUCCCAUGACAUCGUUUAAACUUGGUCAAAACCUCGAGAUGCUCACAACAACAUCAAAUCAUCAAUUUAACAUAGGAUUCAAGCCUAAGAACUUCAAGAACUCUUAAAUUAUGCUUUCGAUCAAAAGUCUAUCAAAUCACGUCCGAAUAACCUAAAAUUUUGCGCACACACCCAAAAUGACACAACGAAGCUACUGCAACUCUCGGAAUUUCAUUGCGACCUUUAUAUCAAAAUCUCACCUAUCAACCGGAAAGUGCCGAAAUCUCAAUUUCGCCAAUCCAAGCCUAAACCUUCCACGGACUUCCAAAAUGCAUUCCGUCACGCUCCUAAGUCCCAAAUCACCUAGCGGAGCUAAACAAAUCAUAAAAAUUCCAAAUCUGAGAUCAUAUACAAAUAAGUCAAAUAUUGGUCAAACCUUUCAAAUUUUUAAGCUUUCAACCGAGACUAUUCUUCCAAAUUAAAUUGUGACUAACCUGAAACCCAAAACCAACGAUUUACAUAAGUCAUAUUGCAUCACCUGGGGCAAGUCAUGCCCGAGAACUAGUGAGAGAAAUGCAAAAGCUCAAAAUGAUCGGUCGGGUCGUUACAUCCUCCCCCACUUAAACAUACGUUCAUCCUCGAACGUGCCCAUAGUUGUUCUAAAAGCCAACCAAUUGCUGAAUAACCUCACCAUGCACAUACCCAGGGGUGAUCCCACGUCACACUAUCUCACAUAGGUUUGAUAACACAGUAUAACUGAAUUUUCACAAUUCAUCCUAGUCCAUAAACCAUAGAACCACAUUUCCUCUUCUGAAAUCGUUCACAGGAUCAGAAUCUCACAUCUAUUUUCCGAAUAAGCUCGAACAAGCUGUAAUCAGCCAUAUAUGCUAUCCCCAGUGCAAUCACAUGAUAUACCACAUAAUUCAACACUUGUAGUGAUAACUUCUAAUCACAGCAGCUGCACACAACAUCCGCAUACCGAUAGAAAAACUCUUAUCAACUAAAGUCUCAUCCCAACACUUUCAUAUACUGCCAAUGAUCACUAAGACACGCGGUAAGCCAUAACCAUUUCCCAGAUCAACCAUUCAAGAAGCCACUCCUCCUUUGUCAAAUACCACAACAAAUUUUCUAGCCGAAUCUCAAUGUUAUCCUUCCAACAUGAUGAAAUCGAAUCCGUUCGUAUUCAUUAAUGAUCCCAAUGAUCUACUCUACUCCAACACACUACUUUGGUGACAUGACACAUCAAUACAGGCCUAAGCCACAACUUGCAUAAUACGCGCACAAAUAAGCAACGGUCCGAACAAUGACUCAAAUGAAAGAGCUGUACCUAAAGCUCACCAUUACCACCACAAAACAAGACUGAGAACCCGUCUCGCAUCAUAGGAACAGAACACAUGAAUCUAACCCGCAAGGUCAUACCUCCACAUAACUUUGCUGUGAUGCGCGAUCCUAUCCAACACUGCUCUACAUGAACCACCUCAAGUCAUUAUGCUAGAAAUCGACAACCAUGCAGAAUUUGAUGUCUGGAACCAAAGCAAUCAUUACACCCACGGUGAAAUAAAUAACAUACACCACGCACACCCGAUAGGACAUAACCGAUACGUCGUUCAUCGAGCAACACCCAAUUACUCUUCCCGCUCGACUUCCACUAUGAAACCCCAAUAGAACCGCACUAUAUAUGCCUAUAACCAACAAAUCAUAACAUCUCGCAACAUAGAAAGGUAACUCACGGAUCUCCCUAGAUUACUAAUAAGCUCCAUAACAAUCGAAUUAACAUACCCCUCAAUAGUACAAUUCAGAGACAGCCAAGCUGGCUCAAAUUAGAACACGCAUCCACUUUGGCCUGCCAACGAGCUCCUUAUCACAAAAAUCCUGGAGUUUCUCUUCAACUCCUUUAACUCUGUCGGUGCCAUACGAUAUAGUGUCCGACAUCAAAUCAAUACCGAAAUCAACAACCUUGCCCGGAGACAUGCUCGGCCAGAAGAAACAUAUCCGAAAAGUCCCUCAGCACCGGAACUAAAUCAAUGGUAGGAGCCUCUGCACUAACAUCUAUCAUGAAAACCCAACUAAGAAAAACAAUCCUUCCCAGCCAUCCGCUGGGUCUUUAGAAUAUAAAACCACUCUACUAGGACAUAAUCCGUCGAACCUCACCACUCAAUCUGUGGCAUUCCCGGCAUAGCCACCAGCGCCGCCUUAGUGAAAUAGUCCAGAAUGACACAACAUGGAGACAACUAGUCUGAACCCAAUAUCACAUCCAAAUCUAACAUACCAAGCAACAAAAUAUCCGCUCGGGUCUCCAAACCCCGAUAGUCACUAAACAGUGUCGAUACCCACGACUCACAACCACAACAUAGCCUGAAUAUGAGAAUUUCCCGUCUCCAACUCCAUAUGGCCCAUGAGUCAACAUAUCUGGUCCCAAUUUUGCCAUGCGAAUACAUACCACACCUCAAAUACCCAAUCAUUCCACGAGAGAAAAUCUAGAAUUCCUCUAUGACACCAAGCAAACUCGAAUAUCAACAGUCGAUCUAACAGGAAAAUGCCGCAAUACUACCGAAGAAUCAUCAACUUAAUCACAUUGCCCUUUCUGAAACAUAUGCCCUCGUCAAAUCACUCCCAUUUGGCAAUACCAUUUCCUUAAUCAUCUGGAUAUCAUCCCCCUAAUCAUCUAAAGCUCAUUUCCCUAAUCAUCUGAAGCUGUCCGUGCUACCUAAGAUUUUUUUUUGACUUUCCGUUCAAAACUGACCGUAACCUUACAAACGCAAAUCCCAAUCCUCCACAACAUACUGCAUAUACCAUAGCAUCCUAGGAUAACAUGAGAACUUCAUCUCCCUUUCGAGCCACAAACAUCUACGUACUCAACUAGUCAAUAACUCUCCAUUGAUCCCAUCUAGAAGAAAAUCACUAUGCAUCUCAUGCUCCUCAUGCCCAUAGAAAAUAUACAUCUCCAACUAUGGUGGAAACCAUAUAGAACUCCCCGAAUCCCUUUUGCACAACACUAGCUCAUCAGGACUGAAUCCUUCUAACUCAACCGAGCUAUACAUGCCACUAAAACUCAAAAUAAUUGCUGCGAAACAACUGCAGAGACUCGUUACUUCGAAAACACUCAAGGAACUAAUCAUAUCCUUACCAUACCGAUCUGGCCUACUAUCACUCUAUCCCAUCUAUUCGAGCUUCCCUCUAAUCUAUCAUUAGCUUGACACUUCUUCUUGCUACAAUGCCACAAUUCCUCAACCCAGACUCAUCACGCGAGACCCAAGCAUGAAACCACACUGCCUAAGUCUCAUAAGCCGCUGAGUACUCUCUUAAAUGUUUACAAAUGCACCAUGUUCAAAAUACCUACCCCCGAAGGGACUUCCUGCGAAUCUAGAACCAUUACCUUCCUAAUACUGAUAUAUAGAAUCCCAUAGUUAAUGUAGAAAGUACCACAAGUCUUGACAUUUUCCAAAUGAAAACUUAGUUCCUAACCACAUAUACAAAUUUAAAAUACCCAAUUGCUACAUGUAGAAUCUUGAGCACACUAGAACCAUUCUCGAGAGUCAUUCACUCUAUUCAAAUUGCAAUUAGGCUGAUCAAUUAAACCGAACAACCCGUGCCUCAUUGGCACUCCGACACCACAGAAUGUAACCUCAUCCCAAUACAACCAAGCAACUUCCUGCUCUAUGCACUAAGCCUUCUUGCCAAUAACAGACAUCCCGUGAUUCUCAUACACCUAUAAAGCAUAAUAUAAUCUUCGUCAAAAUUUUCCUUUGCUCGACCCAUCCUCGGUCUAAAUUUUCGCAAGCCAUAAUUGAUUCACCAGUACGCCUCAAACUGGAACCAACAUAGCACCUAACCAUGCAAUCGCCUAGUCAAUAGUAGGCUCCCCUAUUUGGCUCGACGCCAUAGAUCAGCACACACUCAAUAACUCAUAACGAAUAUACUCUAUUGAUGUCAUGAUACUAUAGUGAGAUUAAACUCAAAUAUUUUAUAAGCUUGUGAAAACACAGAUCAUCUAGAAUUUUAACUCUUCCGCAAAUCUCGCAUUCCACUCUCGCAACAGUUACACCCACUCUCUAAGCGAUCCAAUUUAAAUUGCAACACAUAUCCUUCACUUGCAAAUGAGAUCUUCUAACAGACACAUAAGGGUCGUACAACCUCAGAACGUUUUGCAGGAGACAACCCACCUACUUUGCCUCUAACUAAAAUUUCUGUAUACCUUCCACCGUCAUAAACUGUACGCAGUCACUUAGUCUUCCUGAGUCUGAACUCAUACCGCAACAUGAAAUUUACUUUACUCACAACUGGGAAACAUGAAAAGAUCCUUCACACACCCAUAACUCGGGGCUAUACCUCGAAUCAAGAUGGAAUUCAAGCACCUAAUAGUUCUUCUAUCCUUUAGCAGACCUUCUCAUGUGGAUACAUCUUGCAGUACCAACAUACUCAUCACAUAGUUCUCCAGCCGUCACUUCCACUAGUAAGGACAAUACCGAACAUAUACAUUCAAAAAUACUUGCUCACACAAUCAACACCUAGGUGCUCAAGCUAUAGGCAAAAAUCCGGCCUCAAGUCCUCCAGACUGGCCCAAUAUCAACUCACAGAGAUCACAUCUCGCCCCUAGAUCAGGGAAUCACAAGCCAUCGAAGCACAUUUGAUACUGAGCACUCAUGCGCGCAUCCGAACAUGUGGAAGGAAUUCAAGAGUUACUUUUCAAGCUAAAUCAAGGACGCUAGAUUAGAAUUCAAAAAUGUGAAGUUUUCCUAAACGUUCUGCAGCCUUUUGAGGAUAAAUACAGACGUCUCCGUACCGAUCCGCGAGACUCUACUAAACCUGCUCAUGACUCGUGAGACCUAUGUAACUUAGGCUCUGAUACCAACUUGUCACGACCUAAUUCCCGAACCCGGUCAUGAUGGCGCCUCUCGUGAAGACAAGGCCAGCCAAACCAAACAGAACACCUCUUUUAAAUAGUUAAAUAUCAUAAAUAGUUCUAAAGCAUGAUAUAAUAUCCAUAAUUUACGGAAUUAACGAUAACCUCAGUAAGAACCAUUUCGACACAGCCCAAACCAGGGUGUCACAAGUCAUGAGCAACUAAAAAAUCCGGAUACAAGUCUACUGAACACUAAAUCCGAUACAAUGGUUCUAAGAACAUGAAACUGAUAAGAUAAGGGAGGCACGGGGCUGUGGACGCCAAUAACUACCUCGUAGUCUCCGAAUCACUGCCUGGACUGGGAGGAUCAACAUUCAGGAGCGGACUCUACGAUGCCUGAAUUUGUACACAAGGUAGAUGGAGUAAUGUGAGUACUCCGACUCAGUGAGUAAUAAUUAUAAAUAAUGGUUGAAAGCAUGAAAACACGUAAGGCACAAAGCAAUUCUAUAUCAAAGCAGUAAAAAUCACGAAAAGUAGUAAAUCAGUGAGGAAGUCAAGUGAAAUCUCUUUAAAUCAGGUAAAAUAGGUAAUUUGGCAGGUAAAUAACGAGUAGAAAUCUGCCCCUCGGGCACAGUAUCAAUCACUCAGAACAAUAUCAGCUCCUCGGGCUCACUCUCAUCACUAGUGCUCAUUCUCAGCUCUCGACCCAUGUAUUUAUCAUAAUAACAGCAAUCAGAAUAACCGUUGUGGCGUGCAGCCCGAUCCAUAUAUCGAUGCGGCAUGCAGCCCAAUCCAUAUAGAUAGUCGACUGCGCUCACUGGGGGUGUGCAGACUCCGGAGGGGCUCCUACAGCCCCAAGUGCUAUAUUGUUGCGGCGUGUAGCCCGAUCCAUAACAUAUACAAUAUCCUCACCAUUGGGUUGUCAACCCCUCUCAGUCAUUAACCUUACAGCCUCUUGGGCACAAUAACAGGAGAUAGGGAUCUCAACCAAAAAAUUCCUCUCAUUUAGGAAAAGUAUUAUAAAACCAGCUCGAAUCGGUUAAAACAGAUAGAAAUAUGACUGAGGAUAUGAUUUUUAACAAGUAUAACGAGUAAAAUCAGUCAAAAUCCUCGAAGGGUUCAGAUAGAUGGCACGAAACCCAAAUAUGGCAAUCAACCCAAAUCAUGAUGAUAACAAAUAAAAUUUCAGUCAAAUACAUGAUAAAAAUCAUCAAUCGUUACGGACCAAAUCACAAUCCCCACUAGUAAAAGACCCCACGCUCAUCAUCCAGCGUGUGUCUCACCUCAAUAUAACACUACGAUGUGCAAUCCGGGGUCUCAAACUCUCAGGACAUCAUUUACAAUCAUUACUCACCUCGAACCGAUUAAUUAUCUAGCUCGCGACGCCUUUGCCCCUCGAAUUGUCCUCUACGCGCAUCGAAUCUAUCCAGAAUCAGAACGAAUACGUCACAAUAUGCUAAGGGAACAAAGCCCAAGCAAAAAUAUUCGAAAAAUAUAAAAAUCCCGAAAUUAGCAAAACCCGAACCCAGGGCCCACAUCUCGGAAUCGGGUAAAAUUUAUAUUUUCAGAAUUCUAAUACCCUCACAAGUCUAACCAUAUCAAAAUUAUCCAAUUCCGAUACCAUUUGGUCCUUCAAAUCAUCAUUUUAUAUUUUUGAAAGGUUUCACAAUUUUCUUCCCAAAUUCCAUCCCAAUUCAUGAAUUAAAUGAUGAAUUUCAAUGAUCGAUUCAUGUACUCUAGCCAAAUCUAAGUUACAGUCACUUACCCUGAUGAAUUUCUUGAAAAAUCUUCGAAAAAUUGCCAAAAUCCGAGCUCUCUAGGUCAAAAUAUUAAAUAAAACCCAAAACCUCGUAUUUAUAGAGUACCCCUCAGAUUUCAGCCUCAGCGGUCCGCCCAGAACCACGGUCCGCACAAAACCAACACGACCGCACUUCAUUUUGUGCGGUCCGCACAGCACAUACCGUGGCCACACUUCCUUUUGUGCGGUCCGCGCGAGUGGGUUUCGAGGCCUGCAACCCUUCUAGACCUGCUACAGCUAUGAUUUUGGCCUAAAAUAUCCUAGAACCUACCCGGAACUCCUGGAAUUCCAAACCAAUUACACCAAAACAUCCCAUAACAUUGUUCAAACUUGUUCAAAACCUCGGUAUGCUCACAACAACAUCAAAUAAUUAAUUUAACAUAGGAUUCAAGCCUAAGAACUCAAAGAACUCUUAAAUUAUGCUUUCGAUCAAAAGUUUAUCAAAUCUCGUCCGAAUGACCUAGAAUUUAACACACAUAUCCCAAAUGACACAACGAAGCUACUGCAACUCUCGGAAUUUCAUUCUGACCUUUAUAUCAAAAUCUCACCUAUCAACCGAAAAGUGCCGAAAUCUCAAUUUCGCCAAUCCAAGCCUAAACCUUCCACAGACUUCCAAAAUGCAUUCUGAUCAUGCUCCUAAGUCCCAAAUCACCUAACGAAGCUAACCAAAUCAUAAAAAUUCCNNNNNNNNNNNNNNNNNNNNNNNNNUUUCUUAAGCUUUCAACCGAGGCUAUUCUUCCAAAUUAAAUUCUGAUUAACCUGAAACCCAACACCAACAAUUGACAUAAGUCAUAUUGCAUCACCCGGGGCAAGUCAUGCCCAAGAACUGGUUAGAGAAAUGCAAAAGCUCAAAACGACCGGUCGGGUCAUUACAAUACCGCAUGAUAGAAGGUACCAACAGUUAAGAGAUUGGAAGGAUUUCGACAACAACCCAUGGUGCGAGAAAGAUUCCUAAAGAGGAGAUGCCCCGACUUUGGAAUUAUUCAUAGAACAGUUGCCUAGUUGGCAAGGAGAGUACUAAAGUAUUCGUAAGACAUUAGUUAUAAAAAAGAUAAAUGCAUCAGUUAACAUCUAUGGAUGAAUGUUCCAAAGGGGGGAUGAUGUUACACCCCACGUUUUCAUACGUGAAAAUACGCCAUAAGUAAAUUAAUGAAAGUCCGACAAUGAGAUAUUACAUUCAGCAUUUUCGUACAUUAAAGCAUCAUCAUAAGUUAAUCGACGUAGGUUCAAGAAUGAGAUUUAUUUUGGGAUUAUAAGUAUUAUUCUAUUUCAAACAAGGGAUGAGUAAAUUCAUGAAGGUGAAAGGGUAAGCAAAUCGAAAAAAGUGAAUUUCAUCGAAGUUUCACAUUUUGGGAUAAAAUACGACAUGAGAUAUAAUACCCGCUAUUUAUGGACUAGUUCCGUACAAGGUACCACAUGACCAAGAUGGUAUGGUGUAUGAAGUAUGUUCUAAUGAGUAGUAUUUUAAGUAAUUUGAGAUAAUUCUUAAUUAUGUGGGUAAUUGGUUAAUUAUUGGGUAAUGAGAUAUUACCCAAUUAAUUAAAGAAUUAUUGGAUAAAUAUUGAAAUAACCCCAACGUGACAGCACCCUUAUCCCAUUUGAGUGAGCCAUUAGCUAUGGCUCAAAUGUCACAUUUUGAGCAUUUAGGAGGCUUAGUCAUCACCUUAGUAGGGCCCAUACCCACUAAGGUAUAAGACUUUAGUUCCUUAAGAGAUAGAUUCAAAAACUCAUUAAGGUAAUAUCAUAUUGUUGCUAAAAGCAUACUACUCCAUAUAAUUUAUACGGAUGGAACCUUCAUAUGAUAUCUAUUUCUUCGAUAUUGUGCAAAAAAAACAUUUUUCACAUGAAAUUAUAAUGUGUAAUAGCACCGAGAUUUUGCGAUUCUAAGGGAGUAUGGUACAAUCUUUCCCAAGAAUAUCAUACGGAUUUUCUCCUACUCUGAUCCGUCGUAACGUGUUGUCGCGAUUGACAUGUGUUAGAGGGAUUGUCAAAAGAAUCGGCUCAGGUAAGUUAAGGCUAUUCCAUCUUUUCUUUUGGCAUGAUCUAUACGACACAAACGAAACGGGAAAAUGCACAACUUCCAUAAAUGACUCUAUUCAUAGAAGUAUUAGAGGUGCCUAUGUUAUUGAAUUCCCAUGUGUCCUAUAAUUUUAUCAUCUGUCCAUGGGUCUCAGAAAAAAUGUUAGUUGAAAAAGUUUACUUCAUGAUAUUAAUCAGAGGCAUAAUGGUCUUAUGACACUCUGAAAGCUUUUAUUGACGUACUUUUCAUGCAUUGAAUUCAUGUACAUUGACCCAUGACCAGAUGUCAUUAUAUACGAGUAGAUAUGUAUAUCAUAUAUAUGGGAUAUGGGAAAACGUUAUGGUGUUAUAUAUGCACCACCACCUGAUCAGCUGGUAUACAUUGAUGAUUUUGCCUACAGUGGCUGAGAUGAUAUGACGGGAUACCCUCAGAGGCUUGAUGAUGUUAUGAACACAUGUACCUAUGCACGACAUGACAUUCAUAUGCAUAUGCAUGACACUAUAAGUAUUUCAUGAUUAAUAGAGUUAUCCUGACUGACAGGUUGAGUCAUUUACUCUAUAUUUCUUCCAUGUUUUUUAUGUACUUAUUUAUGUGCCUUACAUACUCGGUACAUUAUUCGUAAUGACAUCCCUUUUGCCUGGGGACAUUGCGUUUCAUGCCCGCAGGUCCCGAUAGACAGGUCGAGAGUCCUCCAAGUAGGCUAUCAGCUCAGCAUAAGAUGUUGGUACGCUCCAUUUGCUUCAGAGUUGCUUGUUUGGUCAGUAUGAUUUAGACACAUAUUGUUUGGUAUGGUGGGUCCUUUUCCCAAACUUUAUGAUAAGUAUGUACUCUUAGAGGCUUGUAGAUAGAUGACAUGUAUUCAAAUGCUUGUAUGGCCUUGCCGGCCUAUGUUUUGAGUUUACAAAUGAUCAUGUUGGCCUUAUAGGCAUGUAUGUCACAUGUAUAAGUUUGUAUAGCAAGUUGGGUCGUCCUAUAUUGAGAUCCCCUAUGUUUAUUCUAGUUAGCCCAUGACAACCUAUUUGGCC